UACGUAGGUGGCAAGCGUUGUCCGGAAUUAUUGAGCGUAAAGCGCGCGCAGGUGGUUUCUUAAGUCUGAUGUGAAAGCCCACGGCUCAACCGUGGAGGGUCAUUGGAAAACUGGGGGAACUUGAGUGCAGGAGAGAAGAGUGGAAUUCCACGUGUAGCGGUGAAAUGCGUAGAGAUGUGGAGGAACACCAGUGGCGAAGGCGACUCUUUGGCCUGUAACUGACACUGAGGCGCGAAAAGCGUGGGGGAGCAAACAGG
rnacentral:rRNA from 1 species